rnacentral:rRNA from 1 species
UUGAAAGGGAAACGAUUGAAGUCAGUCAUACCAACGGGAAAUCAACCUUUUGAGCUCGGUCUCGUGGGUUUUGAAAAUUUCAAAGCCUUCGGAUUCGCGGGAUUGGGAUCUCUUGGCCUACUUUCGUACGGUUAGUCAACAUCGGUUUUGAAUGUCAUAAAAUGACUGGAGGAAUGUAGCUUCCGAUCUCGUAUUGAAGUGUUAUAGCCUUUGGUAGAUGUGAUGUUUGAGACCGAGGAUUGCAACGGAUACCCUUCAGGCCUAUUCGUCUGAUCUCUGAUACGUUGCCUUGAUGUUGAAAGCUUGCUUAUGAUGUUAGGGUAUUACGGUCAAAAGGUUAGAACGAAUUACAUUCGUUAAGGAUGUUGACGUA